rnacentral:rRNA from 1 species
AUUGAACGCUGGCGGAAUGCUUUACACAUGCAAGUCGAACGGCAGCACGGGAGCUCGCUCCUGGUGGCGAGUGGCGAACGGGUGAGUAACGCGUCGGAACGUACCGAGUAAUGGGGGAUAACGCAGCGAAAGCUGUGCUAAUACCGCAUACGCCCUGAGGGGGAAAGUGGGGGAUCGCAAGACCUCACGUUAUUCGAGCGGCCGACGUCUGAUUAGCUUGUUGGUGAGGUAAUGGCUCACCAAGGCGACGAUCAGUAGCGGGUCUGAGAGGAUGAUCCGUCACACUGGAACUGAGACACGGUCCAGACUCCUACGGGAGGCAGCAGUGGGGAAUUUUCCACAAUGGGGGCAACCCUGAUGGAGCAACGCCGCGUGCAGGAUGAAGGCCUCGGGUUGUAACUAGCUUUAUUGUGUCGAAGAAUAU